GGUCCCUUAGCUCAACUGGUUAGAGCUUUGUACUUAUAGGGUUAUCUCUGCCUUGAACUCUUGAAGGCAUGCAAGGGUUCCGAGUUCGAUCCUCGGAGGGACCA